rnacentral:rRNA from 1 species
CCUGGCUCAGGAUGAACGCUAGCGACAGGCCUAACACAUGCAAGUCGAGGGGCAGCACAAGGAGCAAUCUGAGGUGGCGACCGGCGCACGGGUGAGUAACACGUAUGCAACCUGCCUGUAAGCGGGGAAUAACCCGUUGAAAGACGGACUAAUACCGCAUAAUACUAAAUUACUGCAUGGUAAUUUAUUUAAACAUUUAUGGCUUACAGAUGGGCAUGCGCAUGAUUAGCUAGUUGGAGAGGUAACGGCUCCCCAAGGCAACGAUCAUUAGGGGUUCUGAGAGGAAGGUCCCCCCACACUGGUACUGAGACACGGACCAGACUCCUACGGGAGGCAGCAGUGAGGAAUAUUGGUCAAUGGACGAGAGUCUGAACCAGCCAAGUCGCGUGCAGGAAGAAUUGUCCUAUAGAUUGUAAACUGCUUUUGCAGGGGAAUAAAGUGCAUCACGUGUGAUGUUUUGUAUGUACUCUGCGAAUAAGGAUCGGCUAACUCCGUGCCAGCCGCUGC